GAUGUUCGACGCUCCCCAAAAGGCGGAAGAUUUUGUCAGUUCCUUCACAGAAGAUAUACUCUGCAGCGGGAAGGCAACGGCUUCCGUCUCCAUCCCUUCAGCUCAACAAGGGGAUAAAGUUUAUGAUGAUCCUCACUGUCCUUAAAGGGUUAGUUCACCCAAAAAUGAAAAUAAUGUCAUUUAUUACUCGCGCUCAUGUCGUUCCACACCCGUAAGACCUUCGUUAAUCUUCGGAACGCAAAUUGAGAUAUUUUUGUUUAAAUCCGAUGGCUCCAUGAGGCCUCCAUAGCCAGCAAUGACAUUUUAAACAAAAAUUUAAACAAAAAUAUCUUAAUUUGUGUUCCGAAGAUCAACAAAGAUCUUACGGGUGUAAAACGGCACGAGGGUGAGUAAUUAAUGACAGAAUUUUCAUUUUUGGGUGAACUAACCCUUUAAGAGAACGAUAACAAGGUGGCCAUGGACACUUUAUCCCCUUGGAAUUAUAAGGUUCUGUCUGCGUUCUGAGCGGUUUUGAGAUAUUGAGCUUCAAAGUUUUUGCAUUCCAUAUAGCAAAAACUAUAUGGGGAACAAGUUUCUUUCAAACAUGAAAAUGACAGGGACAGUAAAUGUAUUCUAAAUGUACAAUAUCAAAAUCCUCUCAAAUUUGUAAAUGGGGAUUUUUGGAACGGGUCAAAUGCAGAUAGAACCUUUUAAUUCUAAAAAAAAAAAAAAAAAAACACUUUUCGCUUGGAAUUAUAAGGUUCUAUCUGGUAAAAAAUUAAUUGAAGCAAUAAUUUUCAAGAAACAAACAGUUUGCUUAUAAUUUCCUUUAAAACAAAAUUAGUGUUGUAACAAUGUGUUGACAUGCAUGAGUGUUACAUACAGAAGGGAGCGGAGACACAGGUAAGGAUUAACAGGUUUAUUUCAGGUAAAGCAGAGCGUGAGCAGAGUGCAGGUGAGUGAUGGCAGAUGAAUAGGUCGAUGAGCCGAUGAACUGGAACUGAUACUUGUCUGUGUUCUCUUAGGGAGCGUGGAUGCCGGGAGACGUGGAACAGACGAACACACAGGAGAAGCACAGGAGACGAGGAGACACUAGGAAUCACUGAGGACGCUGAAGACAGGUAAGUAGUCGAGCAAGGGAGUCCUGGAGGUAAGUAAACACUGGUAUGUGUUAACGAGACCGGACAGUGACUGAGUGAACUGGCGUGUCUUUUAUGUGGCUGUGGUGAUGAGUGUGAAUGAGCGUCAGGUGUGGCUUGUCAGUACUCAGGAGAGGGAGUGCGAUGUGAUUGGGUGAGUGUAGAGCCUGGCGUGUCUGUGACAAUGAGAAAGUUUAAUUUAAUAGUUUUUAUGACAUUUAUUUUUUUAUAUUUUAAAUGAAUAUUUAUAUAUGGGUAAUUUAACACAUUAUUGCAGGAACCAUUUAAGUAUAAGUUUCCUUUUGUUUAGACAGAAAGCAGCAAUAUUGUAAAAUUUAAGACAUUUUAAGACUAAAAAACUGCAAGAAAACAGACAGUGCUUCAGCAAAGGUGUUUAACAAAGUUUAAUAAACAUUGAAAAAUGUUUCACUGACUAUAUAUAAUUAAAAAUAUUUCACAUUUAAAAUAUUUAAAUUACUUCAACUAUGCAACAACUCAGUUUUUGCCAACAAUCUAAAAUUUAACAUUUCAUCUCACUUAAUCUAGUAUACACUUUAAUCCAGUAUGCCAUAGCGUAGAGCUUUAUAUCUACAUACAGCUCAAUUCAAGCACACAGGAUGGAUCAAGGUUAAAACAUAACCUAAUAUGUACAUAACUUUCCCUCGUAUGACGUGACUGGAAAUAAGUAAAUUGACUACAAAACCCAGACCUAUCCUUUUAAUAGCGCUGCUGGCUAACGUUAGCAUGGUGUCUAACUGAAAAUAACUCCCUAACAAAAGAUACAGCAAAACACACAAAAAGACUGUAAUUCCCUGGAAUUUGGGCUGCUGUCAUUGUCAAGAUCAUAAAUAAAAUAGUCGAUCAUGAGCUUUCUAAUAAACAUCGCGUUGUGUGAAAUUAUUUAGUCUUCACCGAUUUAGCGUUUUCGUGAACAUCACAAAAAAGAAACAUCACAUAAUGUAAAUAAGUUGUCACAGAAUAUGAAUAUGUGAAUAACUCAAUUUUGACAAAAAUGUCAGAUAGAACCUUCUAAUUCCAAGGGGACGACUUGUUCAUUUCUUUUUGGAAUCUUGUCCUGUACGCUCGUCCGCUGACUCGUAAAUGGGCCUGGGGACAUGUCUUGUGUUGAAGUGGACUGGUCAACAUUUGUUUCUGUUGUUUGCGCACACCUACAUUCUCGUGUACAUGUACAUUGUUGUUUGUCGUUCCUUUUUCUUGUUUUUUUUUUUUUUGUUUGUUUUUGUUUUGUUUUUUCUGUUCCCUUUAACAGGCAUUUAUUUAUCUUGCUUUUCUUUUAAAAGGAUUAUGCAUCGCGAUGGAUUGGUAUCUAGCAUACAUCUUUAUCAUGAGGUACUUUUCUCCACAUGUUUUGGGAAUGUCCAGUUGUUUUUAUGGACUCAUGUGAAUUCUGUUUUGUCCUUUUUACUACAAACUGAUUACGUCUCUAAUCCAGGUUUACAGUGGGUACGGAAAGUAUUCAGACCCCCUUAAAUUUUUCACUCUUUGUUAUAUUGCAGCCAUUUGCUAAAAUCAUUUAAGUUCAUUUUUUUUCCUCAUUAAUGUACUCACAGCACCCCAUAAUGACAGAAAAACACAGAAUUGUUGACAUUUUUGCAGAUUUAUUAAAAAAGAAAAACUGAAAUAUCACAUGGUCCUAAGUAUUCAGACCCUUUGCUGUGACACUCAUAUAUUUAACUCAGGUGCUGUCCAUUUCUUCUGAUCAUCCUUGAGAUGGUUCUACACCUUCAUUUGAGUCCAGCUGUGUUUGAUUAUACUGACUGGACUUGAUUAGGAAAGCCACACACCUGUCUAUAUAAGACCUUACAGCUCACAGUGCAUGUCAGAGCAAAUGAGAAUCAUGAGGUCAAAGGAACUGCCUGAAGAGCUCAGAGACAGAAUUGUGGCAAGACACAGAUCUGGCCAAGGUUACAAAAACAUUUCUGCUGCACUUAAGGUUCCUAAGAGCACAGUGGCCUCCAUAAUCCUUAAAUGGAAGACGUUUGGGACGACAAGAACCCUUCCUAGAGCUGGCUGUCCCGCCAAACUGAGCUAUCGGGGGAGAAGAGCCUUGGUGAGAGAGGUAAAGAAGAACCCAAAGAUCACUGUGGCUGAGCUCCAGAGAUGCAGUCGGGAGAUGGGAGAAAGUUGUAGAAAGUCAACCAUCACUGCAGCCCUCCACCAGUCGGGGCUUUAUGGCAGAGUGGCCCGACGGAAGCCUCUCCUCAGUGCAAGACACAUGAAAGCCCGCAUGGAGGACUCCAAGAUGGUGAGAAAUAAGAUUCUCUAGUCUGAUGAGACCAAGAUAGAACUUUUUGGCCUUAAUUCUAAGCGGUAUGUGUGGAGAAAACCAGGCACUGCUCAUCACCUGUCCAAUACAGUCCCAACAGUGAAGCAUGGUGGUGGCAGCAUCAUGCUGUGGGGGUGUUUUUCAGCUGCAGGGACAGGACGACUGGUUGCAAUCGAGGGAAAGAUGAAUGCGGCCAAGUACAGGGAUAUCCUGGACGAAAACCUUCUCCAGAGUGCUCAGGACCUCAGACUGGGCCGAAGGUUUACCUUCCAACAAGACAAUGACCCUAAGCACACAGCUAAAAUAACGAAGGAGUGGCUUCACAACAACUCUGUGACUGUUCUUGAAUGGCCCAGCCAGAGCCCUGACUUAAACCCAAUUGAGCAUCUCUGGAGAGACCUAAAAAUGGCUGUCCACCAACGUUUACCAUCCAACCUGACAGAACUGGAGAGGAUCUGCAAGGAGGAAUGGCAGAGGAUCCCCAAAUUCAGGUGUGAAAAACUUGUUGUAUCUUUCCCAAAAAGACUCAUGGCUGUAUUAGAUCAAAAGGGCGCUUCUACUAAAUACUGAGCAAAGGGUCUGAAUACUUAGGACCAUGUGAUAUUUCAGUUUUUCUUUUUUAAUAAAUCUGCAAAAAUGUCAACAAUUCUGUGUUUUUCUGUCAAUAUGGGGUGCUGUGUGUACAUUAAUGAGGAAAAAAAUGAACUUAAAUGAUUUUAGCAAAUGGCUGCAAUAUAACAAAGAGUGAAAAAUUUAAGGGGGUCUGAAUACUUUCCGUACCUACUGUAUGUCUUCUCAAUGACGAUUCUAACUGCUGUAUGAGUUCAUUAAAGAAGAGAAUGUUGUUUGCUGGUUUACUCCGCACAUGUGUGCAAAAACAUAUUGGAUUCAAAGCCUCCUUAAAAUAGUGACUUGUGAAUGUACAACAGCACGAAUCAACAAGGCUAAACCCAGUACCACUGAUGCAUAUUGGACUAUAUAUAGGAAUUACAAUAUAAUGUAUUUUUUUUCUCUCUCUCUUCUUCCCCUUUCAGAUUGUAAAAUUAUUGAUAACAUGUCUGUUGCUCCCCUUUCCCCGUUUGUUUGUUUAAAUGGAUGUUUUGUUAAAUCUAUAGGCAAUGAAAAAAAAAUGAUCUGAAAUUGACAUUUGACAUUUGAACUCCAGUGAAGUCCACUAUAUGGAGAAAAAUCCUGGAAUGUUUUCCUCAAAAUCCUUAAUUUCUUUUUGACUGAAGAAUGGAUGACAUGGGGUGGCCUUCAAGAUCACAGAUCUGAAUCCAACAGAAAACCUUUGGAACAAUAAGAGAUCUGCAGAUAUUAUGGGAUUCAAUCAUGUCAACAUGGAGCAGAAUCCAGAAACCAUCUUGGAAACCUUUUAUCACGCCCUCAUUGAUAGAUUUUACUGCUUUGCAAAUUUUUCAAAAGAUUUUUUACACUCUUGUCCCAGACUCAAACGUUCAGUCUAAGCCUGUGAAAAUCCAUCAAAGAUAUCCUAAUAUUACUACAUAUUAAAUCUAUGAUGACCUAAAUAAACAAAGAGUGAAAUAAACUGAAACAAUUAUUUAAAAAUGAUGACCAUAUAGUUACAGCAUCAUUUCCAACUGUUUAAGAGACAAUAGUGUCAGUGGAGAUGAUUGAGAUUAAAUAUGAGACAUGUGAUGUAUGUGGAAAACAAAGAGAAAUAAACAUAAAUAUCAGUUAUGAAUGCAAUAUUUGUACUGACUAUGAUCUUGAUGAAAAAUGAGGCUUAUUGCAGAAUUAAGAGUGAUUAACAAUAAAACAUCUAAACUAAAUCUGCAAA